AGAGUGCCAGAGAAAAUGUCCCCGCAUAUACCCAUUACGACUCAGGCUGCAAAGCCCACAUCAUUGCCUUCUCUUUUAUCUCCGAUUCGCAGUAAUGCUGGACUCAGGGCACCAGCCGAUCGUUUUUCUCUGAAAUCGUCCUUCUUUUCUCCUUCGCUCCACCUCUUACUUGCUUCUAAUCAACAUCAGCAACCUUUUGCAUCUUCAGCUCCAAGAUUCUCCAUGCCUGUUGCCUCCAAGCAAUCCUAUAUUUGUCGCGAUUGCGAGUGCUUAUUUUCUUUGAUGAGUUGUUGGCUGUUUCGUGAUUUGAUUCAGUUCUUUGCAAAAUUUAAUAGAUGAAUAGACUGUAAUUUGGUAUAAUUCCGGUGAUUGUAGGUAUAUUUACAAUGAAAGGACUCCCUUCGAGAAACUGCCUGACAGGUACUUCUGCCCUGGUACACUUCCAUCCUCACCUGAAUCUUUUGUUUCCCAUAUCCUUGCUAGGUGACAUUUUAUCUAUGCAAUUGACCAACCUAUAUCAGCAUUUUAUGCAUACAAUUUGCCUUCCUUAUCCAUGAAGUGAUGAUGUCAUUGGUUUAUUAAACUAUAGGCUAUAGCUCUCUCUCAUGAUAAACAAAAUGUUUGAUGCAUGUGAGCGGCUAAAAAGGAAAAGGGGAGUUCUAUUUAUUUUAUUAUU
rnacentral:misc_RNA from 1 species